UCGAGUUUCAAGCUUCGACGCGUUCGGUUGGGAAAAAACCUGCCCAGUUCUGCGCGAUUUUGAGUCCCUUUGUUUUUUUGGUGUAAUCUGAACACUCGUAACGCCUGCGCGUCUACCGAUAUAAAAAGUCGUCGUCGUCGUCGUCGUUCAGUGUGCCAACUGCUUAAAUCAUUUGACAAAAACAUAAUUGAGUGAGAAAUCGAAAACUUGUGCUUGGUUGAACUUGGUGGAACUUGGUGGAACACAUUUGGAUUUAUGGAUUCCCUCUUGAGAGCUGCUUAAAGAUCCACAAAUAACCGAAUCACGUGUAACACCGGUGGAAAUUGGUGAUAACAGGCCGUGCAAACAUCAUCGCAUAAAAGCGGCCAAGAAACACGACUCGGAGACCUCGCCGGAAACCCGCUCCAGAAGUCAACAGUUGGCCAGAAGCAAAAGCAGAAGCAGAGACAGAAAGCCGACUGCAAGCAGCUCAAUCGGUUGGCCCGCUCUCGGCGUGCUGGCAUUUCAUUUACCUGGUGCGCGGCGUUACGUGGUCUCGAUCCGAGCUUUGGGUCUACCCGCCAAAAAGAAAGUCACGACAGUACCCGCCAGUCUGGGGCAGAAACGAGAUUUCCAAGAUUCUGCAACGAAAGUCAAAGUUACAAGUUUACUCCAAAUUCGAGUUUGAGUUUGAGUUGGCCCGGUUCAACGUCUCUCCACUUUUGGGUCGACUCCGCCGCUGCUCCGUCUGUGCCACAUUUAGAAAGUGAAAAUCGAGUGCAGCCCGUGUCCGAAACCCGAAUUCGAAUCCGAAUCCGAAUCGGAAUCCGUGGCUCCUACCAUUCGGGCGCUGCAGUUGAAAGUGAAUUCAAGCUGCAAGUGAUUUUCGGGCCUUUUUUUUUGUUGUUUUUUUUUGUUGUUGCCGCCACCUUCGGUUCGAUCCAUCAGUAGCCCAGUUAUUUAGCUACUUGGAGCCACACUGCCACUGCCACAAGCACUUCGCGUCUCGUUCAUUGAUCGAUAGGAACCGAACCGGCAUUGGAGACCAGCCACAAUGGAGGCCGAAGAAGUUACAAAACUGGUGGAUGGCGUUUAUAGGAACAUACUCGACAGAUUCAAUCCGGGUGCCAGGCAGCUGAUCGCGGCGGGCAAGAGCUACCUCAAGGCGUUGCAUGGUGCCGCAACCGCCUCGCGUCUAUUCAAUGAAGCAUUGGCCAAGAUUGCAAUGAACGCCCAGCAGAGCGGAACGGGCGAUAUUGGUUCGGCUUUGAUGAGCGUUGUGAACGUCAACAAGGACAUACAGGAGCAGCAGAUGAAUAUUCUGAAAGCCUUCUAUGUGGAUCUAUUGGUGCCAUUGGAGACAAACCUGGAGAAGGACACAAAGGUGGUGCAGCACGAGCAGAAGAAGUUCAUGCAGCAGCACAAGGUGCGCAUGGACAGCUACCAGAAGGCCGUCUCCACCAUGAAGAAGCAGCGCAAGAAGAAGGCCACGCCCGAGAACACCGAGAAGGAGCUGAGGAGCCUGCAGGUGCUGGAGGACCAAAAGAAGAAGCUGGAUGUGUUCUGCGAUCAGAGCUACAAGAAUGCCAUGACACAGGAGCGACGUCGCUAUGGGUUCGUCUUGGAGCGCCAGUGCUCGAUCGCCAAGCACUGGAUGGCCUAUCACACCACCGGGAAGACGGUAAUUGAUAAUAAUUUCGAAAAUUGGCAAGAAAUUGCCGCUUCUCGUGAGAUCAUUCCGCCGUCCGCGUACGAGAGCGGCUACAGCAGCAGCAGCAACAACAACAACAACAACAACACGAACAUGAGACGCCUGGAGCGCAUCAAAGACGGAGACGACGACCAGGUCCACACCCAGCUGAAAAAGUCGCGGAGCAUCGACGCCCCCUACGGGGAUAUGCGCACCCUGCACGAGCGUGAGAACAUCGGCGGAGUGGGGUCAUCGCACUAUGCCCAGAACUCGCUGCCACGCGCCAAGUCCGACUUCAAUCUGGCCCUCGUGGGCACUGGCCUAGGCUCGGGCAACAAACACAAGAUCAUCGAGGAACACUUGGCGCCACAUAGCGACGAUCAGCGCGGGGACCAGCGUCCGCUGGUCAAGGCCCUCUACGCCUACAUGCCCUCCGGGGAGAACCAGCUGUCCUUCGAGGAGGGCGACCGCAUCGCAUUGGUGGGCGGCAAGGCCAAGGGCUGGCAGUUCGGCGAGAACCUCCGCACCCAGCACUUUGGCUGGUUCCCGGUGGCCUACACAAACGCGCUUGAUACCGGCGAGGUGGUGCCCUCCACCGGCAGGCGGUACGAGAACAUGCACAUGAGCUACGAGCGCAACGGAGCAGGGAUCGGAAUGGGGGCCGGAGCCGGUGGAGGUGGCGGUGGCGGUGCCGGUGCCGGUGGUAGUACCGGUGCAGGUGCCCUGCGCAGUUAUCACGACCAGAAGCAGCAGCAGUACAUGUCGGAGGCCCAGCUGGAGCUGAUGGACAACGAUGCCACGUACAGGAGGAGACGCAACCACAGUGCCGAGGAGUCCUCGCCCACGCGCAUGUUCGGCGACACUCUCAAGCAGCAGAAGAAGUACCGCACCGGCUCCGGGGCGAAUCCACGUCCGGGCCCGCCGCCCACACUGCCGGCACCAGUGCCCACCGGGCAGCAGAGCCAGUCCUCGAGGAUGCUGAACAGCUCGCAGAGCUUCUGCGCCACCAAUGGAGUUCCGGCCGCAGUCGAGAGACGCAAGCAGAAGCUCCUGAACGGAGCCCAGAGCUCCAUGAGCCAUCCAUCGGGCAAGUCUGGAGUGGCGGCAAAGACCUCGCUCCACAGCAGCAACGACAGCGGCUUCGCCAAUGAGCCGCCCCCGCAGCCGGAGGUGGACUACUCGGACGAGGAGACCGCCACGCAGCGUGUGCCCAUUCGGCGCCGAGCCGAUACCAACUCGCACACGCACACGGUGCCCCGGGACGUGGCCUCGUGGACCCUGAACCGGAACUUCCGCAACAGCGUGGACAGCCAGAUGGACGACAAGAGCAUGCACCGGCUGAGCCGCCAGAACGGGGUCGGAGCCGGCAAGAUGCGCUACGAUCUGAUUGCCUCGGAUGACGAGAUCCUGCAGGCCUCCAGUGCGGGCCUGAAGCGGACCAAGUCGUUCUGGAAGUUCGGAGGAGGACGCAGUGGCGAGGACAUCCUGGCUGGGAUGUCGCUGUGGCAGCACCGGGACCUGGUGGCAGCACCCAAUCUCGAGGACAUGCGGGACCGCGAAGAGGCGGAACGCCGCUCGGACGAGGAUCGCAACGUCAAUGGAAACGGCAGUGGCAAUGGCAAUGGCAAUGGUAAUGGGAAUGGAACGCUGACCAAGUCGCACAACUCCAGCUCGUCGCAGGAGAAGCGGGGACGCAAGGACAGCCUCACCAGCACGGAGGCCUACGGGGAUGAGGAUGAGAACAUCUAUGGCGUGAGUCAGCCCCCUCAGCAGCACCACCAACAACAACAGCAACAGCAACAGCAGCAGCAGCUGCAGCAGAGGAGCAGCUACACCCCCAAGUCGCGCAUGAAGAUCAUGAAGACCAUUGAGAUUGACAUCGAGGAGCCCACGGAGAGCGAGCGGCUGAGCACAAUGCGCCGUGGCCAGUCCCAGUCCCAGAUGCAGCAACAUCAGCAGGCACAGCCACACCGUAAGUUGGACAAGCAGGGCUCCGGGUCCUCCUCGACGCCGCAGCACAAGACGCAGACCCUGAGCCGGUCCAAGCCCUCCCAGCAACAGCAGUUCCCCCUCUCCACCGACGAGGGCGAGAGCGAUGAACACGGAACGCUCAAGUUAAGCGACGUGAACAACUUCUUCGACGACAUGCAGCACGACGGAGGCCCCAGCAAGGGUGGACACGGACAUGGACACGGCCACGGACUGGUCAUGAAGACGGUGAAGCGCCAGGACAUCCUCAAGCAGUACUACACCAGCGAGGACGACGAGUCUGACGCCGAGCUGAAGUCAACCAGCUCCGAUCCUUACGACUGCAUCGUCAUCAACGAUCAUCUGGUGCGCAAGGACGACAAGCUGCGCCGCCAGCACCAUCAGCAGCAGCAGCAGAUGGAGUUCCACACCUUCCGCUCCUCCACCUCCACCACAGCGACCAACACGCUGAAGAAGUCCUCCUCCAAGGAGCAGGACAGCACCUUGACCCGCAACUCCGCAGCAAAUGCAAGUGCACCCACGGCCACCAUCCUGCCGCGCACACGACUCCUCAAGUCCUCCUCCGCCAGCCACAGCAACAACAACAACAUCAACAGCAGCAGCAGCAACAACCACAGCCACAACAGUGCCACGCUGGAGAGGAGCUCAAAGGCCCUGACGGGCAACAAGAGCUACGGGCCGUGGUACGACUUCUGGGACCAGGAGCAGCACGGCAUCACCGGACAGAAGUCGGCGAGUGCCAAGCUAAAGUGAGACUGGUCCAGGAACCAGGAACAGUGUCAGGAUCGGGACUGGACUGGACCAGAGCCAUGCCAAGAGAAUGAAGUUUCGCCGUUUUCUUACCGGAUAAGAAAAUGCGCAGAGAGCGUGAAAGAUGGCCAGGAAUACGAGAUUACCGCUGAGGAAUGAAUGAAAGAGCCCAUAUCUCCAGUUGUUCUCCUAUUCCUGCAUCUGUUCUGUUUCAAUUCUGUUUAAAUUUGAAGAUAAUUCUUAGAUAUAUUUUAAUGCCAGACAAUCUUUCACUGGCAAGGCAAUUUUUGUUUUUUUUUUUUAUUAUGUACAUACAUAAUUAAUAUUAUACAUAUUUUAAUUGUAAACUGUAUCUAAAGAACCAGUCCAUAAGAAGGAAGCUUCAUGGGUAACAUGGGCACCGUACCGUACCGUACCGCCUCCUCAUUGCAAACUUUCUUCGCUUUCUGUGCAGCAAAAGGCCCCACAUCGUGGGGCUGCAUUCAUUCUCGGUCGCCUGCCACACAAUCGCACUCGUCUCCACAUCACUGAAUUUGUUUUCGUUUAGAUCUAAGCCCGUCCAAGCAUCAUGUUUCACACUGUUAGUCCGGGGUCAACUCUAUUGCACGAGCCUGUUGUCGUCCCCGCCCCUGUACAUGUAAUCAAAGUAAUGCGAAUGUCAUUUGCCAUUCUAGCAGGCGCGGUGUGUACCGCAACUUUUCGAUAGAUUACUGAAAGCCAGACACAAAGUCCUGUAACGGGUGUGCGACCCAUCCCCAGCUAGCCCCAUCCCACACGUAUUAGCUUGCACCUCCAUCCACCCGACCCAGCCUCCCAGUUUGCCACAGUCAAGCUGCGACACACCAAGACCAACGAUCGCUCGGCACCAAUGAUAUAUCGGAGUGUGAACAAGUAGCAACGACAGCGGAAGGUGGAGUUUCUGUUGUGACCAGCCAGACAGCCAGCCAGCCAGUCGCCCAGUCGCCACCUGAGAGCUCCAGCCACACACACCACACACACACAAAAGCGAAUAAACCUACGAGCAUAAUAUACAAAUCUUACAUAUUAUAUUAUUGUCGCAUCUUAAAUUAAUAUUUACUUAAAUUAGAUGGUUCUCUGUUCAGUUGCUGCUGGGCCUGGAGUUUUUUUUGGUAGUCAUUAAGUUGUACUGUUUGUUAACAUUAUGUUUGUAUGUACUUGUAUGUUAAAGUUCGAUAUGUCUAUUCAAUUAUUACGCCGAAUAAACAGAGUAAAGUAAACACCUAGA
rnacentral:misc_RNA from 1 species